UCCUGGCUUAGGAUGAACGCUAGCGGCAGGCUUAACACAUGCAAGUCGAGGGGGCAUCGUGGAGUAGCAAUACUCUGACGGCGACCGGCGAAAGGGUGAGUAACGCGUGAGCAACAUGCCCGAUAGUGGAGGAUAGUCGAUGGAAACGUCGCGUAAUACUCCGUAAUAUAAGGGACCGCAUGAUCCUUUAUUAAUAGAUUUAUCGCUAUCGGAUUGGCUCGCGUACCAUUAGCUAGUUGGCGGGGUAACGGCCCACCAAGGCGACGAUGGUUAGGGGUUCUGAGAGGAAGGUCCCCCACAUUGGAACUGAGACACGGUCCAGACUCCUACGGGAGGCAGCAGUGAGGAAUAUUGGACAAUGGCCGGAAGGCUGAUCCAGCCAUGCCGCGUGCGGGAAGACGGCCCUAUGGGUUGUAAACCGCUUUUGUUGGGGAGCAAUAAGUCCUACGUGUAGGAUGAUGAGAGUACCCAGCGAGUAAGCAUCGGCUAACUCCGUGCCAGCCGCCGC
rnacentral:rRNA from 1 species